UUAAGAUGAAAACAGUGGCGCUUCUGACGGAGAGGAACAUUGGUGGGGGUCACGACGGUGUAGAACAUUGGUACGCUAAUGGUCGUCGCGAUUUUCAUGAUGGAGUUCUGGAAAGUUGCCGAAGGAGUAAGGUAGUGUGCUGCUGCAAUUCUUUUUUCCCAUUCUCUUGUAGCAAUUUAGCAAUAACCCAUGAUUGAUUCUUCACAGUGCUAGCUUUCUGGGUUGGGUUGCUUUUAACACUAUUAUGAUUGGUAUUCGAAUGAGUAAGAGCAAGCAAUUGGAGGAUGUGGUUGUUGUUUCCCGUAGUAGUUAAGUUUGGGAAAAUGAGUUCCUUUCAUGUGCAAGUUUGAUUGUUGUUGAAAAAUAAUUGUUUUUUGUUUUGAUUUUUUGAAGUUAUAAUUUAUGGUAAAUUCUAAUAUGGACCACUUCACUUCUUCAAGUGGUCCAUGGUGGACCAGUCACGAAUAACAUUAUAACGAAUACAAAUUUUAUAAAAUCCACCGUUUGAUUGAAAGUUUAGAUCAUAUAGAUCAUUCAUAGAAAAAUUUAGAAAAAUUGAAAGUCAUUUGAUAUGUUAUUG
rnacentral:lncRNA from 1 species